UUUCGGACAUGACAGAUACACUGGUGCGAUUGAUGCAUGCCAGAGGAGGAGUGCAUUGGUUGUGCGUUAAAAUUGAUAUGGUGGACCGUGUAGCCUACCUAUUCGACUCAGUCCCAUCCAACCGACCGAACAAAAGGAAGCUAAAUGCAGCUAAAAUUUUGGUUGAAACUAUGCACGACUUGCUGCAACUACACUUUGGAAAUGAUUAUGUUA